CAGUAGCCACGGUAAUACGUAGGGUGCAAGCGUUAAUCGGAAUUACUGGGCGUAAAGCGUGCGCAGGCGGUUCGUUAAGACAGAUGUGAAAUCCCCGGGCUUAACCUGGGAACUGCAUUUGUGACUGGCGGGCUAAAGUAUGGCAGAGGGGGGUAGAAUUCCACGUGUAGCAGUGAAAUGCGUAGAGAUGUGGAGGAAUACCGAUGGCGAAGGCAGCCCCCUGGGCCAAUACUGACGCCCAUGCACGAAAGCGUGGGGAGCAAACAGGAUUAGAUACCCGCGUAGUCCCUGUCUCUUAUAC
rnacentral:rRNA from 1 species